rnacentral:rRNA from 1 species
CCUACGUGAGGCAGCAGUGGGGAAUAUUGCGCAAUGGGCGAAAGCCUGACGCAGCGACGCCGCGUGAGGGAUGAAGGUCUUCGGAUCGUAAACCUCUGUCAGCAGGGAAGAACGGUCACUGUGCUAAUCAGCAGUGAAUUGACGGUACCUGCAAAGGAAGCACCGGCUAACUCCGUGCCAGCAGCCGCGGUAAUACGGAGGGUGCGAGCGUUAAUCGGAAUUACUGGGCGUAAAGCGCGCGUAGGCGGUAUGUCAAGUCAAGGGUGAAAUCCCCGCGCUCAACGGGUGAACUGCCUUUGAAACUGGCAAACUGGAGUGUGUGAGAGGAUAGUGGAAUUCCAGGUGUAGGAGUGAAAUCCGUAGAUAUCUGGAGGAACAUCAGUGGCGAAGGCGACUAUCUGGCACAUAACUGACGCUGAGGAGCGAAAGCGUGGGUAGCAAACAGGAUUAGAUACCCCAGUAGUC